CGUAGCUCAGCUGGAUAGAGUACUCGGCUACGAACCGAGCGGUCGGAGGUUCGAAUCCACCCG
rnacentral:tRNA from 3 species